UGUUAGGCUGUCCGCACGCGGCUAAAAUUAGGCCCGUGACAUAAGGUACAUAUGAAUUUAGCUGGUCAGUUGUAAACAGCUGAUUGAAUGGAAUGAUAUAACUGUACUUUUAGUAGGAGAAUGAUUGGUCUAAAGCUUAGAUCAAACUUCCCGAUCUUUGUAGUUCCAUCUUCAAAAAUUUACCAGGAAGCUAAGAUCCACAUGUACUAACAUAUGAAAACAUGAAGGAUCGAACCUCUAUAUAUGGAUCUUUUAAGUGAAUCUCUUCCUUGUUCACUUCUGAUACACUGGUGUAGAUGCUAAUUUCUUAAUUUCACUUCUUUCAAGUAAAAGUUCAUUAUUUAGCCUUUAACUUGCAAGUAAGCUCAGUUGAAGUUACUGGAGCUCGUGCAUCUGUGAGUUCUAAGGUUCAGUCUCUUCUGAAAGACAUUAAAGAGGUGCAUUUUAAGCUUCUUAUAUUUUCCUCGUUGAUCCUUCAUAUUCUUAAUGCUAAGCUGAUAUAUCUUACAGUCUCAUUUACUCUGUGAUGGCCUUCAAAGUUUGGUAUGUUGGGCAAAGAUACAACUCUCAGCAUGCUAGACCUUUCUCUCAAAUUAUGCCAAGAAGAAUAAUGAAAAUUCAAACUCUUAAUUGCAGAGUCAAUUGUGCUUCACUAGCUUUUCUAAACUUCAGAUAUUUGCUUCUCUUUGGUUUUUUUUCUAAAAUUUCCAUCCAAAUGAUCAGGAUUAGCUAAUAUUCAACCAACUUGUGCCACAUCUGUUUACAAACGGGUCGAAAAUAUUAUUUAGUUCCGUUUGAAUUGUUUGGAAAAGUAGGCCAUGAUUCUCCAUUUCACAAGGAUUUACCAAGAUUAGAUGCACCCAAUUUCUACUAUGUUCAGGAAUGAACAUUGUUGGAACAUUUUGUGUUUAUGCUCUAUCAUCUUAAUUUGUUUAUCUGAUUUUGAGUAUUUGAAAUGUGACUUUUGAGUAAAAUAAAAGAAAGAAUUUUGAAUGUUUUGGUCUCAAAUCAAAGGAUUGGUGACUAAACAUAUGAGGUUUAAGUACAAUAAAAUAAAGAAUUUUGAGUGAACUUUCAAACAACCCAGUCAUCAUAUCUUCUGAUUUUUGUUUCACUAAAAUUUCCCUCUUCUGUGCUGUACUAUGUGUUUGUGUGAUAUCUCGUUACUUGAGCCGGGGGUCUUUCGGAAACAGCCUUUCUACCUCAGCAGAGGUAGAGGUAUGGUCUGCGUACAUCUUACCCCCCCCCAGACCCCACGUAAGUGGGAAUACACUGGGUUUGUUGUUGUUGUUGUUGUUGAGUGUUGCAGUCUCAAAUCAAAGGAUAAGUGAAGUGACAUAUGACUUUUUAAGUAAAAUAGAAGAAAGAUUUUGAAUAUUUAGGUCCUAACUCUCUUUUUUCUUCUCAACAGGAGAUUGCUUAAUCUUCUUUUGCAUUUUCUUAGCAGCACACAACGGCAUCCUAUGUCAAUGAUGUAGGCUAAAGAAAAAAGAAAACAACUUUUAAGAAACUAUAUUUACCUAAUAAAAAAAAAAAGGAAGUAAAGAACUUUUAAUUGCUUAUAAUGUGUACAAAUCAUGUGAAUGGCACAGAUUGAAGCAAAAAAUCAUUGUACAAGUCUGACCAGGUUGCUUAUUGACCAGAUUAGCCAGCAGCAAGGAAGAGUAGUGGCUCUUGAAGGUGCACUUUGUUCUCGUGUGUAAUCUUUUCUUUCUUUUUUUGCGUCCUCUUUCUAACUACGUGAGAAAUGGAUUUUUUUCCUGCAUUCGACAAAUGGAGCUAUUGGAAGUCCUGUAUCUUGAAAAUUAUAUGUAAGUUUUCGUCCUAUCGUACAUGAGUUGGGUGAAAAAAUGAACACAUGAAGUGCUAGGACCAAGAGUGCCAGCAAUUAAAGGCUCUUGUUCAGGAUUUUGAAAGUAAAUUCAGAAACUCCUCUUCCUUCUUUCAGCUUUUUGUCAUAUGAAUGUAUGCCGGUAAAAAUCAUACCUAUUGUACGUGAUAAAUAAAGAUAUGUUAAGUGUCAAUGUGUCAGUUCACAUCAUGGAGUAAAUAAUAUUAUGGGCUCUAAUUCUAGAUAUACUUAUGCCUACAAUAAAUAAAUAUACUCAUGCCUACAAGUAUUUGAACUUAUUUAUGUAUUUGAUGUUGUUAAUUUAUCUGUUACAGGCAAGGGCAUAAAAAAGUUGAUUGGAAAUUUGCAGGUUUACACACAUUCUCACAUCUUCAGUCAUGCUACCAACAUAUGUUGACCUUAAUUCUGUCAAAUGUUUGUUCAUUGCCUAAUUACUAUAUACACUAGAUGCCAGUGUCUUCUGUAGUUGUUAGUGGAAAGUUUAGUUUUUAGUUUCAUGGUCUAGAACAUAUUACGUGGAAAGUUAGAAUUGAAGUGACUAAAAAGGAAAGUGAUUCAAAGAAAAAAAGAUCGAAAGGAGUAAAGUAUAUAGAUAAUGGACAGAUAAAUUAUCUAUGAAUUAAUAAAACUUUACUCACUAUACAGGUUUUCCUUAAUGAUAUUGCAUUUAUUUGUUAAUUGAAUAUAUACAUACACCAUCAAAUCUACUACUUGGACCUUUUGAGUUCAUUUGUUGAGCAAAAAGUUUACCAACUGUUCUGAUUUGAAAGUGGUGCACUAAAGCUCUUGCUUUUAUUGUAUGAAGUCGUACUCUGCAUUUUGAAAGAUUAGGUUGGUUAUUGGUCAAUGUAUAGUAAUUACUUCUCCAAGGGAGUUUUGUGAGUCCCGAAUCAUGAAUGCAAUCUGGUUCAUGUCUUUUAUAUUUUUGUGUAAUGAGUUGACCGAUGCUAACCGUGCAGAUAUACAAUUGUAUUGCACGGAUGGAGCACAUUGAUCAUGCUCAUAAAUCUGCGCAGCAUUGUAUUAAAUCAUUGCUAACUACACACGCACACGUGAGUUAAUAAUAAAUAAAAGGCAUAAUAAGAGUGAUAUAGCAUACUUUUUUGCAGGUAAACUGAAGGGGGUUCUUCUUGAAAGUGGGAGUCCUGAGCUAUCAACCUGUCUUGGUUUUAUUUUUCUUUUGGUUUUAUUGUUUUCUCUUCCUCCUCCUCUUCAUCAUUUAUAGACUUGAGUAUCUUGGUCAUGUUCAUUCUCUGACUCAAUAACUCUAUACUCAUCCUCCUCAUCAUCAGGAAGACUUCUUGGAGCUGUGUUGAGAGUGCAGGGAACUUCUUGACCACUUUUUUGUAUCUGAGUAGAAGUAUCAGUAACAUUUGCAUCUUUUUGUUGUCUCUUAUUGAUGGCAUCUCUUUUGUUUUU